GAUGAACGCUAGCGAUAGGCCUAACACAUGCAAGUCGAGGGGCAGCACAUGAGUAGCAAUACGAUGGUGGCGACCGGCGCACGGGUGAGUAACACGUCUGCAACCUACCUUUAACAGGGGAAUAACCCGUUGAAAAACGGACUAAUACUCCAUAACACAGGGGUCCCGCAUGGGAAUAUUUGUUAAAGAUUUAUCGGUUGAAGAUGGGCAUGCGUUCCAUUAGCUUGUUGGUGAGGUAACGGAUCACCAAGGCCACGAUGGAUAGGGGAACUGAGAGGUUUAUCCCCCACACUGGAACUGAGACACGGUCCAGACUCCUACGGGAGGCAGCAGUGAGGAAUAUUGGUCAAUGGAGGCAACUCUGAACCAGCCAAGUCGCGUGAAGGAUGAAGGUCUUAUGGAUUGUAAACUUCUUUUGCAAGGGAAUAAGGUGGGGGACGUGUCCUCCUUUGCAUGUACCUUGCGAAUAAGGAUCGGCUAACUACGUGCCAGCAGCCGCCGUAA
rnacentral:rRNA from 1 species